ensembl:lncRNA LINC01592 long intergenic non-protein coding RNA 1592
GAAGAGGAAGAGACAUUAGGGAUGUGAGUGCAUAAAGAAAAGGCCACGUGAGGACACAGCAAGAAAGUGGUCAUCUGCAAGCGCAAAAGACAGGCCUCAGAAGAACCCAACCCUAUUGACACUAUGAUCUUGGACAUCCAGCCUCCAGAACUCCGUUAACAAACCAUCUGUAUGCCUAAUAUUGAUGCUGUCUUUCCCUAGUGUACUGGACAACCUAAGACAGGGAAAUAAAGAUAAAGUUUGGAUUGAAGAGUGAGGAGCCAAAAUAAUGCAGCUUCACAUCUCCUUAAUGGACAGAAGACUACACUGUUUUUGCUGCACCCAGAGAUAAAAUUAUUGGUUUUGGAGUACCUUCACUGAUGCCAGCCCAAUAUCAUGUCUGGUUUAUAUUUCAAUCUGAGCAAUGAGUAGGGAGCAACCCACAGCCACAUUGAGAGCCAGCCUUGAAAAUCAGAGGGACCUCUUGAUUUUGGACACGACUUUUCAGGAUCCUUUUGAGAAAGUGCUGGGCACUGCAAGCAACAUGUGAGACACCACGACGUCUGUUUUAUCCAUCGUGUGCCCUGUGCCUGGCAUGGAGCCUGUCCCACAUUUACCAACUUCACAGAAAUGAAAAACUUUGUGUGACGUGUUGGGGCUAACAAGAUGAAGAUGGACUCCUGCCAUCAUAAGGUUCCUGAUCUAGGCACAGGGAUUCCUGGAAACAAUUCCCCACAGAUAUCAAGGGAUGAUUGUAUUCGGCCAGAAAGUACAUCUCAAAGAGUAAGAAUUAGGCAAGACAUAGUUGGAUGUUGGCACUCCGUCUAGCCUGAAAGCAGUUAUAGAAGAAGGCUUUCUGAGAAGCGGUGCCACACGUCUUUUCAAUGUCAUCACAAGAGUGCCUGGUCUAACUCUCAGGGGAUACGUGCUUUUUGCCUGCUCAUUUAUUGGGGAGUGUCUGGAAAGAAUCUAUUGUUCGUGACGUCGCCUAUGUUCUCCUUUACUUCCCUAUUCAGUCAUUGGGUUGGAGCUACAUUUUAAGGCAAAUAAAUAAAUAAAUAAUUUUAGUAAAAGUUAAA